UACGUAGGGUGCAAGCGUUGUCCGGAAUUAUUGGGCGUAAAGAGCUCGUAGGCGGUCUGUCGCGUCUGCUGUGAAAACUCAGGGCUUAACCCUGAGCUUGCAGUGGGUACGGGCAGACUGGAGUGCGGUAGGGGGAGAAUGGAAUUCCUGGUGUAGCGGUGGAAUGCGCAGAUAUCAGGAGGAACACCGAUGGCGAAGGCAGUUCUCUGGGCCGUAACUGACGCUGAGGAGCGAAAGCGUGGGGAGCGAACAGG
rnacentral:rRNA from 1 species